rnacentral:rRNA from 1 species
CCUACGGGGUGCAGCAGUGAGGAAUAUUGGUCAAUGGUCGCGAGCCUGAACCAGCCAAGUAGCGUGAAGGAGGACUGCCCUACGGGUUGUAAACUUCUUUUAUCAGGGAAUAAAGUCAGGCACGUGUGCCUGGUUGUGUGUACUUGAUGAAUAAGGAUCGGCUAACUCCGUGCCAGCAGCCGCGGUAAUACGGAGGAUCCGAGCGUUAUCCGGAUUUAUUGGGUUUAAAGGGUGCGUAGAUGGGUUGUUAAGUCAGUGGUGAAAGUUUGGGGCUCAACCGUAAAAUUGCAAUUGAUACUGGCAGUCUUGAGUACAGUUGAGGUAGGCGGAAUUCGUGGUGUAGCGGUGAAAUGCUUAGAUAUCACGAAGAACUCCGAUUGCGAAGGCAGCUUACUAACCUGCCACUGACAUUGAUGCUCGAAAGUGUGGGUAUCAAACAGGAUUAGAUACCCGUGUAGUC